UACGAAGGGGGGCUAGCGUUGCUCGGAAUCACUGGGCGUAAAGGGUGCGUAGGCGGGUCUUUAAGUCAGGGGUGAAAUCCUGGAGCUCAACUCCAGAACUGCCUUUGAUACUGAGGAUCGUUUGAGUUCGGGAGAGGGUGAGUGGAACUGCGAGUGGUAGAGGUGAAAUUCGUAGAUAUUCGCGAAGAACACCAGUGGCGAAGGCGACUCGCUGGACAAGUAUUGACGCUGAGGUA
rnacentral:rRNA from 1 species